AUUUGCUUAUUACUUAAAAAGUCUAUAGCUACCAAUACAACAUAAAAUACUUAUUUUUUUCCUUUCCUUUAUAUUUCAGUUGAAUCCAGCAGGUGUGUGACAGAUGUUCAGACAAUUGACAAAGCAUUUGGUGACCAGUCUGUUUUUACAAUAACAUGGAAGUGAUUUACCUGAUGUCUUGCGGAUAAUGGUAGAAAUCCUGACAUAAUGGAUAUCAUGAUUUGCUGUAUAUGUCACCAUGCAGUUGAAGACAACCAAGGCUCUAAACUUACAGUAAAAGGAUGCGAUGCAGUGGAAUAAAUGAUGCUAGCUUGAAGAGACAGGAUAAUGUUCAGGCUGUUCCAGGAAAUUUUGUUCACAUUGCAUGUCGAAAGACGUACACAAAUGCUAAUGUUAUUGUUCGCGAUACAAAAGAAAACCUUAGUCCAAACACCAGAUUUGUGAGGUCUAAAGCUGAUGUAUUGAAUUUUCAAGAACAUUGUAUAUUUUGUGGUCAUUCUGCUAAAUACAAUGACAGAAAACGCGGUUUGGAUGUUUUUCCAGUAAGGACAUUAGAGUUUCAAAAAACUAUAACAGAGUUGUGUUCAGCUACAGGAGAUGAUUGGGCUGAUAAGGUCCGG